rnacentral:SRP_RNA from 1 species
GCCCGAGCCCUGUGCAACGGGAGCCCCCGAACCCCGUCAGACCCGGAAGGGAGCAGCGGUAGGCGGCCACACCCGUGUGCCGCAGGUUUGCUUGGGCCCU